rnacentral:lncRNA from 1 species
AACUCUGCCUGAGUUCACCAAGUACAGGAAGCAGCUGCAGCCGGGUCAUACCACCUCACACCAAGCCGCAGUAUAGGGUCUUUCCCCAUGGUCCCUUCCCUUAGCCCUCUGCAGCCUAACCUGCCUCUCUAUACUGGGCAGAGAGACAACAGUCCCUUCCUCUGUGGAUUAAGGGCCACAGGCCCAGUCUGGAAUUACAGAGCAAUAAUGGAAUGACCCAGUAUCCGCUGAUGGAGGUGGUGAAUACACGCAGCAAGGCAAAACAACACAGAGAAGGAGAGGGGCCCCUAGGCUGUGUCUGAUGAGGAGGAGCCAGAGAUGAAAGCUAAGCAAGAACUACAGUCCAGAAGAUGAAAUGACCCUCCAUGCUGGCCACUCAGAGACAAGGCUGGAGACUGGGGUGUGCCUGGGCUAACAACUGGUUCUUCCCGAGGAGGUGGAGGUACUUUCUCACCACUGUACCCCAAGUUUAGCUGGUGCUAGCCCUGCAGGUGUGUGUGUGUGUGGGGGGGGAUAUUUUCCAGUUGUCAUACUGAAUACGUAGAAACACCUAGAGCUGGGGCCUCCGGAUGUCACACAACAUGGCUGAGAGCUUCCAGGAAGGCAGGAUGGCAGACCAGCUUCAAGAAAGUGUCUUAACACUCAGACUCACAGUCCACCACUCCCCCGGCAUGCAGUAGACAGGUCCACACAGGGGCUCAUAGCCUUCCCUGUGAGGAACCACCAAGGCCUGGUUCCUUAGCCCUGGGGCUAAGGGGCUGACUGACUCAGGUUUUCCUCAACUCUGGGUCCAGCAUGCAACUCAGGCUCAACACUGUAGCCUGCAGCCAAGCCACCUGGCCCUCCAGGUCACAGUGGAACAAUAACAACCCACAAGUCUCCUGGAGCUACCAGAACAUUUACAAACCUAAUUCUGAAAACACCUACCUCACAUACCCCUGGAGUCUAAAUAAUUUCCCUUUUAAAGAUUUGAUUUUAUGAAAAGGGAUACACUCACUUUUGCCAUCACCCGGAGAAUGAAGUGGAGUGACAACAGAGACGGGGGUCACCACAGGCAGGAACUUGGCCCAAGAAAGGCACAAUGAAGACCUCUGGGGACUGGGACCGAGUGUUGAAGGCACAGUCACAGUGUCCCAUGACAGGUCAGCCACUGUAGCUAUAAUACACCAUCUCCUGGGACAUGCAGCUGCCAAACCAUAGCUGCAGACUCCGCACUGGUUGUCUGAGAAAGACUUUUGUACACCAAGUGACUACAUUAUAAGGCACAGGUGUCCCCUCCCCUGGAAGACAUUAAUUAUCCAUUCUUAAGGUAACCCUGGCUUCAGAGCAAUAGGGUUUGGGGCACUGUUUUGCUUUUCAUAUUUUUUUGGGCACGAAGUAGUUAUUUCUACAAUUAUGAAAUAUGAAAAAGCUGAAAGACAGUUGGGUGUAGUGGUGUUCACUUUUAAUUCCAGCACUUGGAAGGCAGAAGCAGGUGGGUCUCUGUGAGGUCAAGGGCAGCCUGGUCUAUGUAGUGAGUUCCAGAACAGCCAGGGCUAUGUAGAGAGACCCUGUCUCAAAGACAAAAGUAAAUGAAGAAGAAAAUAGAAAGACAAUAUUGAAGCCCACAGCUCAACGCACCAUCGGUGGAGAAGAGGAUGGGACUUUGUCACUGUGCACGUUUUGUUUUUUCUUUGUGGUGCUGGGGAAGGAAUCCAGGACCUUGAAUGGUUUCUGCAAAGAUGCUGCCUCUGACUGAUCUCUACCCCCAGCCUGGAGAACUUCCUAGUGGAUCUCUGAGCUACACAGACUGCAUAUACCUGGCAUGGUGAACCAGACCUCAUGUGUCCAGGAAUAGCAACUAACACCAACUUUUGUCGUCCCGGUGGUUUGUCUCUAGAUACAACUGCUCUUUCUACUGAAGCCAGCACUUCCCCAGCAAGACUCUGUGUGUGGCAUGUCACCCACCCCCACACACAGACAGAAAUUUCUGUGAACCAGCAUUCCC